rnacentral:rRNA from 1 species
CUGCCUGGUAGUGGGGGAUAACGUUCGGAAACGAACGCUAAUACCGCAYACBUCCUACGGGAGAAAGCAGGGGACCUUCGGGCCUUGCGCUAUCAGAUGAGCCUAGGUCGGAUUAGCUAGUUGGUGAGGUAAUGGCUCACCAAGGCRACRAUCCGUAACUGGUCUGAGAGGAUGAUCAGUCACACUGGAACUGAGACACGGUCCAGACUCCUACGGGAGGCAGCAGUGGGGAAUAUUGGACAAUGGGCGAAAGCCUGAUCCAGCCAUGCCGCGUGUGUGAAGAAGGUCUUCGGAUUGUAAAGCACUUUAAGUUGGGAGGAAGGGCAGUUACCUAAUACGUGAUUGUUUUGACGUUACCGACAGAAUAAGCACCGGCUAACUCUGUGCCAGCAGCCGCGGUAAUACAGAGGGUGCAAGCGUUAAUCGGAAUUACUGGGCGUAAAGCGCGCGUAGGUGGUUUGUUAAGUUGGAUGUGAAAUCCCCGGGCUCAACCUGGGAACUGCAUUCAAAACUGACUGACUAAAGUAUGGUAAAGGGUGGUGGAAUUUCCUGUGUAGCGGUGAAAUGCGUAGAUAUAGGAAGGAACACCAGUGGCGAAGGCGACCACCUGGACUAAUACUGACACUGAGGUGCGAAAGCUUGGGGAGCAAACAGGAUUAAAUACCCUGGUACUCC